UGAAGUUUCUUCCGUUGGGCCAAUCGUACCAGAGGUUGAUCACUUCGUGAAUAACACUGUUGUUCAUGACCAGAAUGGAGUGGAAUUGGGGCGGCCAUGGAGUCGGGGGGGGGGGUCAGGUCGUCUUGUUCGGGUUUGGACUUGCACAAGUUGAGUGAACAAGUUAAG